rnacentral:lncRNA from 1 species
UCAUCUUCAUCUUCUCCUAGGAAUCGCAACCGAGAAGAUUCAUCUUCAUCUUCUCUAGGUGUUGCAACCGAAGAGGAUUCAUCUUCAUAUUCUCUUAGGUGUUGCAACCGAAGAGGAUUCAUCUUCAUCUUCAUCUUCUUCUAAGUGUUGCAAUCGAAGAUGAUUCAUCUUCAUCUGCUCUAAGGUGUCGCAAGUGAGAGGAUUCAUCUUUGUCUUCCUCCAUGUGUUACAACCGAGAUGAUUCAUCUUCAUCUUCACCUAGGAGUCGCAAUCGAGAAGAUUCAUUUUCAUCUUCUCUCAAGUGUAACAACCGAAGAUGAUUCAUCUUCAUUUGCUCUAAGGUGUCGCAAGUGAGAGAAUUCAUCUUUGUCUUCUCCUAUGUGUUGCAACCGAGAGGAUUCAUCUUCAUCUUCUCCUAAGAGUCGCAACCGAGAAGAUUCACCUUCAUCUUCUUUCAGGUGUCGCAACCAAAGAAGAUUCAUCUUCAUCUUCUUUUAGGAGUUGCAACCAAAGAUGAUUCAUCUUCAUCUUCUUUCAUAUGUCGUAGCCGGAAGGAUUCACCUUCAUCUUCUUCUAGGUGCUACAAUCAAAGAGGAUUCAUCUUCAUCUUCAACCU